UACGAGGGGGGCGAGCGUGGUUCGGAAUUAUUGGGCGUAAAGGGUGCGUAGGCGGUUUGGUAAGUCUGAUGUGAAAUCUAUGGGCUCAACUCAUAGUCUGCAUCGGAAACUGCCGGGCUUGAGUGUGGGAGAGGUGAGUGGAAUUCCUGGUGUAGCGGUGAAAUGCGUAGAUAUCAGGAGGAACACCUGUGGCGAAAGCGGCUCACUGGACCAUAACUGACGCUGAUGCACGAAAGCUAGGGGAGCAAACAGG
rnacentral:rRNA from 1 species